rnacentral:rRNA from 1 species
GAUGAACGCUAGCGGCAGGCUUAAUACAUGCAAGUCGAGGGACAGCACAGGUAGCAAUACUGGGUGGUAACCGGCAAACGGGUGCGGAACACGUACACAACCUUCCUUUAAGUGGGGGAUAGCCCAGAGAAAUUUGGAUUAAUACCCCGUAAUAUAGUUGAAUGGCAUCAUUUGAUUAUUAUAGCUACGGCGCUUAAUGAUGGGUGUGCGGCUGAUUAGAUAGUUGGCGGGAUAACGGCCCACCAAGUCUACGAUCAGUAGCUGAUGUGAGCGCAUGAUCCGCCACACGGGCACUGAGACACGGGCCCGACUCCUACGGGAGGCAGCAGUAAGGAAUAUUGGUCAAUGGACGCAAGUCUGAACCAGCCAUGCCGCGUGAAGGAUUAAGGUCCUCUGGAUUGUAAACUUCUUUUAUUUGGGACGAAAAAGGGCCUUUCUAGGUCAACUGACAGUACCAGAUGAAUAAGCACCGGCUAACUCCGUGCCAGCCGCCGCCGUAAGAC